rnacentral:rRNA from 1 species
UACGUAGGGUGCGAGCGUUGUCCGGAAUUACUGGGCGUAAAGAGCUCGUAGGUGGCGGGACAAGCGUGCGGUGAAAGCUCGGGGCUCAACCCCGAGUCGGCCGUGCGAACUGUUUUGCUUGAGCACUGUAGAGGCAGGCGGAAUUCCGGGUGUAGCGGUGGAAUGCGUAGAUAUCAGGAGGAACACCGGUGGCGAAGGCGGCUAUCUGGACAGAGUCUGACGCUGAGGCGCGAAAGCUAGGGGAGCAAACAGG